rnacentral:lncRNA from 1 species
GGUGCCAAUGGGGUCGGGAAAUGGGGACAGGGUCUUAUGGGGUGGCAAUGGGGUCAGGAAAUGGGGCUUUAUGGGGUUCUAUGGGGUUUUAUGGGGUUCUAUGGGGCUUUAUGGGGUUUCUAUGGGAGUUCUAUGGGGCUUUAUGGGGUUUUAUGGGGUUCUGUGGGGUUUAUGGGGUUUUAUGGGGUUCUAUGAGGGCUCUGUGGGGUUUUAUGGGGUAUCUGUGGGGUUCUAUGGGGCUUUAUGGGCUUUCUAUGGGGCUCUGUGGGGGUUUUAUGGGGUUCCAUGGGGUUUUAUGGGGUUUUAUGGGAUCUGUGGGGCCAAAUCCCAUAACGGGGUGCCAAUGGGGUCGGGAAACGGGGACGAUGUGAUAUAGGGCCGCCCAUAGGGUGGAGAAAUAGGGUCGAUGAGAAAGUUUGGGGUUGGGAGGAGACGCGGUGCCACCUGUAGGGUCCCCAGGGACCCCCCCACCCCAAACCCUCCCCUUUUUCGGUCACGGCCCACGGCCCUAAAAGUGACGCCACAUCCUGUCCCUAUUUCUGACCCUAUAAGCAUGGCGGAGCUGCUGGCCCUGCUCUGCUUUAUGGGGUUUGGGGCGGUUUAUGGGGUCACCCUAAAAGCGACGGCAACCGGUUCGGCGCUGCUCCGCUGUGACUCCGCCCUCCGCGGUUCCCCCCCCUCGUUUCUCCCCCCGCGGUUACGUUGGACGCGAGGGGGCGGGGCUUUGGGGCUGGGAGAGGGCGGGGCUUUGUUGUUGCCCCGCCUCCGGCUCAGCCAAUCGGGGCCCUACGUUUGUCGGGUGGGCGGGGUCAGAAGCAGAGCGUUGGUCAACGUGGUGGGUGGAGGUGAGCGGGGGGGG